GGCGACCUGCUUCUGCUUGCGUGCCUGGAAGGCUGGAACUCAGCUCAACCACCUCUUUGGCUCUAUCCCCGUUUGGCUCAAGCAGCUGCCCAGCCUUGUCUACCGUUCAAGCCCAAACGAAAAAAAAAACAAAAAAAAACUCAAACCAUAGCUUCGUAAACCCUCGCCGCCGCCGCCGCCGCCGCCGCCGAUGACAUCGGAGGAGCACCCCUCGUCUGCGUCCUCGGACGGCAGCACCACCAUCGGCUCCGACGAACAUCUUGACCCCUCGCCAUCACCUUCGACGUCCUUCGACUCUCCUCCUGAAUCCGACGACUCCGCCGCCUCCUCGCUGCUCUCAGACGGCUCUUCAGAGUCCGAGCCCAUCAUUUUCAAGAAACCCCGCCCACCCGUGCGCUCGUGGCCGGCCUCCGACGAGAUCGCGAUCCUCGAGACCGUCGCGUCGCACCGGCAGAAGCACGGGCGACUUCCCCUGGCAGACGACCUCGCCGCCGCGGUGCGGGGCCGCCUCAGCGUGGGGGACCGCCUCAGCGCCGCGCAGAUCACCAGGCGGCUGUGCGCGCUCCGCAACCGGUACGACAACACCGUUAUCCGCCUCAAACGCGGCACGAUCCCGGCGAAGGACAGCGACGUCACCAUCUACAGGCUCUCCAAGCUCAUCUGGGAGGGCACGCGCAGGGGGAGGAUAGAGAAGAAGACCCGUGUGCCCGACGCGCGCAAUGACCCAAGAGGGUUCGACGAUCUGGCCGAGCUGUACCCUUGCCUCUCCGCGGAGGUGGAGGCGAUUGGUGCGAGGUGCGGCUACGGGGCGCUGAAGAGGGCAUUCGGGCGCAUCGGUGACGACACGGCGGCGCGGCUGGAGGCGAAGCUGAAGAGGCAGCGGAUGGCGGAGACCAGGGCGAGCGGAAAGCUUGACCGGCUGAGGUCGAGAGUCGCCAAUGCGCUUCAGGGAUUUAACAAGUGAAAUGGUGAUUUCUUCAUCUUCUUUCUGUUGCUACAUGGGUUGGCGUAGAAAGACACAGUAAGAUUGGUUCCUUCGCAUGGUUUCAUGGUUGAAAUGUUAUCAGAUUCUCUGUGGCAAGUUUGAGGGCACUAUCAACUGCAAAGAAUCUGAAAUGUCAUGCUGUCAAUAUUUGUUUUGCACUACCAUUGUCUGAGCUAAGAACAGGUUUUCAGAAGCAAAAUAAAUUUUCCCGCAGUGAUAAAAUUCAAAGUACAGAAGUACACUGAUUCUCUACACUAUCUUAUGGUUUGUUGGUUUCAAGCUGCUAACACACACUAUCUAAUGCAAAUGGUUGUUACAGCAUGACACAACAAUCUAAUUUAAAUGCACAGAGUGAUGAUAUUUCAGGCAUAGUGUUGGGUUUUGCUUUGAUGGGUUAUUUUGAUUAGGAUGGAAAGUUAGGGCAGUGUUUGGAAGGGCUUCUGCUCCCAGAUUAUCAAUCCAGAGCAGCUGGAGCUGGAGCUCAUUCCAAGCACUGCCCUGUGAUUAUGACUAUGUAAUUCUCUGGAUUCUUUAUGAUUCAGAAUACUGAUCUUUUUGUGUUUUCUUUUCUCACUUUCUUUUGAUUAUCAUUACAGGAAUAGCUCAAAGUAUGAUGAUCAGUAGCACAGUAAUAGUUUGAUAGGAAUAUAUGCUGUGCUCACUGAGCCUUCGUGCUCACAUGAGUACUUUAAAUCCGGUAUAUCAUGAUCAAUCCAACGAGGCCGACAAUGUUUCACUUAUCCCCUCCCGCCUCAGCUCUGAUGGCAUAGGAGAAGUGGCGGACUUUGUUGAAGGAGCUGAACGUGGACGUCUGGAGGAUUAUUAGACAAUAGACACGCCAAGUGAAAGUGGCUUUAAGAUUUUGUCAAGGAGAGGAAGCUACAUAACAUGGAGGACUUGCUUUGAUGUUCUGCUUAGGUUCUAUUUGGGACUGAUCUAACUUUAAAAAAUUAAUUUGGUGGAGCUGGCAUAGCAGGUUAUUAGGUUUAUUAGGUGAUCCAGAAAAUCCUAGACCUGCAGAACCUUUAGAAAAUAUCUUGAUAAGUCAUUUUAUUUAUAUUUUAGAUUAAAAAUAUAUUUAAAUUUAUAUUAUAAACUACAACCCCAAGCUAAAGUUGGAACAUGGAGCAAUCAUAAACACCCCUUUAAUUCUUGAGGGUUGGAUUUUUUUUGGA